CUCGAAUUUCGAUCAGGUU
rnacentral:miRNA from 1 species